rnacentral:rRNA from 1 species
AUUGAACGCUGGCGGCAGGCCUAACACAUGCAAGUCGAGCGAGCGGCGGACGGGUGAGUAAUGUAUGGGGACUGCCUGAUGGCGGGGGAUAAAUUCUGGAAACGGUAGCUAAUACCGCAAACCAUCAUAUCCCCCAUAUGGGAUUAGCUUGUAGGUGAGGUAACGGCUCACCUAGGCGACGAGCCCUAGCUGGUCUGAGAGGAUGCUCAGCCACACUGGGACUGAGACACGGCCCAGACUCCUACGGAGGCAGCAGUGGGGAAUAUUGCACAAUGGGCGCAAGCCUGAUGCAGCCAUGCCGCGUGUAUGAAGAAGGCCUUAGGGUUGUAAAGUACUUUCAGUCGGGAGGCGUUACCGACAGAAGAAGCACCGGCUAACUACGUGCCAGCCGCCGCGGUAAUUC